AUUUUUUUAAUGAUAAAUGUUGAGAUUUAGAAUGGUAGAAAAGAUAGGAUGAAAUAACAAGAGAAGGAUUUACCCAAUUCGACUAUUGAGAGCGUGCAUACACAGACACAAAACCUCAAAGGGAUACAUUUCAUUCAGUUGUGUCUUUUCAUAAUUCAUAAGAGUUUAUACUUAUAAUGGAAGAUACAAGAUAUUAUAGCAUGAUAUCAAUAAACCAUUUUGUUAAUGAAAUACAUGAUUUUAUCAUAGUCAUGAGAUUCUUCAAUGAGACAUAACCCAUG
rnacentral:misc_RNA from 1 species